GACGUAGGGCGCGAGCGUUGUCCGGAAUUAUUGGGCGUAAAGGGCUCGUAGGCGGUUUGUCGCGUCGGGAGUGAAAACUCAGGGCUUAACCCUGAGCCUGCUUCCGAUACGGGCAGACUAGAGGUAUGCAGGGGAGAAUGGAAUUCCUGGUGUAGCGGUGAAAUGCGCAGAUAUCAGGAGGAACACCGAUGGCGAAGGCAGCUCGCUGGGACGGUACUGACGCUGAGGCGCGAAAGACGUGGGGAGCAAACAGG
rnacentral:rRNA from 1 species